UCCCCCCAUUUCCCAAAUCUCCCCCUCUCCACCGUCCCCUCCCCCCACCGACCACCAACGCCUACUGACCGCCCACCGUCCCUCGGCCAGCUCUUUGUCUCUCUCUUUCUCUCUUUCUCGCAAACCCAAAUCUCCCCCUCUCCGGCCACCGUCCCUUGGGACCGCGAUUUUCGCGAGACUAUGGAGCCCCAGUUCCGGAUCUGGACUCGCCUGGAUCGGUGUGGGUGGGGGGCAUGAAGCGGCCAGAUCUGUACUCGCCUUGACGUUCUUCUCUCCUCCAACUCGACCUCUCUCCAUGGCUGCCUCAUCCUCUGUUCAACCAACUACAAACCCGCAGGGUGCAGAAUAAACAAGCAUUAAGGUUGGCUACCAGUGCAGGUUGCGAUUCACGUUUGCAGUGGGAGAACAUGGUGAGAUGCAAGACUAGGCACCAGAAGUCUUUCUUAUUGCAGAUCAUUCUCAUCAAAUACCUGAUAAUUUGAACUUAUGUAUAGUUUGAUGAGGCAGAGGGCCCUAACCCAAUAAUUAAACUUAUGGAUGUUAUUGAUGCCUUUAAAAGGGUCCUUAACCCAAGAUUUUUUGGAACUAUUCUUGGCUUUGUAUCUUUCCAGAGGUCACAUACAAUGCCAAAGUGCAUGUACCGAUAAUCUUAACUUGGAAGAACCUUUUUUUGUUGUAAAAAUCAUGUGUAUCUUAAUAUGGUUCUAUAUCCAAAUUGUGGUUGAAUUUUAUA